GGAUAUAUACUGCGUUCUGCUACCUUAAUUACAUUUAGUACGCGACGUGGCGGCUGUACCGUCACCUGCAGCUGUUCCGGUUAGUUUCGACGUAUACUCCACCGAACAACAGAACAAGCACAGAUUACCGGGUGAAUAUCGAGUCAGCUUUUAGCCACUUGCGAUGCCUGUCCAGCCAAAGUUUGUGGCUGCCGGAGUACUUGUGGUGCUAGUCGCUGGUUACUGCUGCUGCUCCGGAAACAGUGGUAGCAGUCGUCAGACUUGGAGGGAUUCGAAAGCUGCACGAGACAACCGCAGCAACCAGAUGAACCCCAACAACUGGCGCUUCUGGAACGUCCGUUAAUGAAGAGGUCUGGACCGAGGUUAUAGUAGCCUUACAAGGACCUUUUAUUUUUAGUUGCCUUGAUAACAAUCCAUGUCAAGCUUAUCAGAGUACAGGUGACAUUGUCCCUGGAAAACUGCACCCUGACCCAGUUAUAUGCAGUUUUGUUGUUGAUGAACUUCAACAUUUAUCAUCAGUGUCUAUGGCC